UGGGGAAUAUUGCACAAUGGGCGCAAGCCUGAUGCAGCCAUGCCGCGUGUAUGAAGAAGGCCUUCGGGUUGUAAAGUACUUUCAGUCGGGAGGAAGGUGUCAAGGUUAAUAACCUUGGCAAUUGACGUUACCGACAGAAGAAGCACCGGCUAACUCCGUGCCAGCAGCCGCGGUAAUACGGAGGGUGCAAGCGUUAAUCGGAAUUACUGGGCGUAAAGCGCACGCAGGCGGUUGAUUGAGUCAGAUGUGAAAUCCCCGGGCUUAACCCGGGAAUUGCAUCUGGUACUGGUCAGCUAGAGUCUUGUAGAGGGGGGUAGAAUUCCAUGUGUAGCGGUGGAAUGCGUAGAGAUGUGGGGGAAUACCGGUGGCGAAGGCGGCCCCCUGGACAAAGACUGACGCUCAGGUGCGAAAGCGUGGGGAGCAAACAGG
rnacentral:rRNA from 1 species